rnacentral:ribozyme from 13 species
UCCUUUUUCUUUUAUUUUUGUCUUUGUCGUUCCCUCAUCUUCCUCGUCGCUGGAAGAAGAAGAAGAAGAGGAUGAUUCGUACGUAUUUGAAAAAUAGAUGUCACGUAAAAUUC